GACGAACGCUGGCGGCGUGCCUAAUACAUGCAAGUAGAACGCUGAAGGAGGAGCUUGCUUCUCUGGAUGAGUUGCGAACGGGUGAGUAACGCGUAGGUAACCUGCCUGGUAGCGGGGGAUAACUAUUGGAAACGAUAGCUAAUACCGCAUAAGAGUAGAUGUUGCAUGACAUUUGCUUAAAAGGUGCAAUUGCAUCACUACCAGAUGGACCUGCGUCGUAUUAGCUAGUUGGUGGGGUAACGGCUCACCAAGGCGACGAUACAUAGCCGACCUGAGAGGGUGAUCGGCCACACUGGGACUGAGACACGGCCCAGACUCCUACGGGAGGCAGCAGUAGGGAAUCUUCGGCAAUGGACGGAAGUCUGACCGAGCAACGCCGCGUGAGUGAAGAAGGUUUUCGGAUCGUAAAGCUCUGUUGUAAGAGAAGAACGAGUGUGAGAGUGGAAAGUUCACACUGUGACGGUAUCUUACCAGAAAGGGACGGCUAACUACGU
rnacentral:rRNA from 1 species